rnacentral:rRNA from 1 species
CAGUAGCCGCGGUAAUACGGAGGGUGCAAGCGUUACUCGGAAUUACUGGGCGUAAAGCGUGCGUAGGUGGUGGUUUAAGUCCGUUGUGAAAGCCCUGGGCUCAACCUGGGAAUUGCAGUGGAUACUGGGUCACUAGAGUGUGGUAGAGGAUAGUGGAAUUUCCGGUGUAGCAGUGAAAUGCGUAGAGAUCGGAAGGAACAUCUGUGGCGAAGGCGACUAUCUGGGCCAACACUGACACUGAGGCACGAAAGCGUGGGGAGCAAACAGGAUUAGAUACCCGCGUAGUCCCUGUCUCUUAUAC